CAGUAGCCACGGGAAUACAGAGGGUGCAAGCGUUAAUCGGAAUUACUGGGCGUAAAGCGCGCGUAGGUGGUUCGCCAAGUUGGAUGUGAAAUCCCCGGGCUCAACCUGGGAACUGCAUCCAAAACUGGCGAGCUAGAGUAUGGUAGAGGGUGGUGGAAUUUCCUGUGUAGCGGUGAAAUGCGUAGAUAUAGGAAGGAACAUCAGUGGCGAAGGCGACCACCUGGACUGAUACUGACACUGAGGUGCGAAAGCGUGGGGAGCAAACAGGAUUAGAUACCCCAGUAGUCCCUGUCUCUUAUAC
rnacentral:rRNA from 1 species